AUUGAACGCUGGCGGCAUGCCUUACACAUGCAAGUCGAACGGCAGCGCGGGUGCUUGCACCUGGCGGCGAGUGGCGAACGGGUGAGUAAUAUAUCGGAACGUGCCCUGGAGUGGGGGAUAACUAGUCGAAAGAUUAGCUAAUACCGCAUACGAUCUACGGAUGAAAGUGGGGGAUCGCAAGACCUCAUGCUCGUGGAGCGGCCGAUAUCUGAUUAGCUAGUUGGUGGGGUAAAAGCCUACCAAGGCGACGAUCAGUAGCUGGUCUGAGAGGACGACCAGCCACACUGGGACUGAGACACGGCCCAGACUCCUACGGGAGGCAGCAGUGGGGAAUUUUGGACAAUGGGGGCAACCCUGAUCCAGCAAUGCCGCGUGUGUGAAGAAGGCCUUCGGGUUGUAAAGCACUUUUGUCAGGAAAGAAAUCCUCUGGGUUAAUACCUCGGGGGGAUGACGGUACCUGAAGAAUAAGCACCGGCUAACUACGUGC
rnacentral:rRNA from 1 species